AAACUAGGAUUAGAUACCCUAUUAUUUAAAUUUUAAAAAUAAUUUUUUUAGGAAUUUGGUUAUACAAAAAAUUAAAUUGAUUUGGCGGUUUUUUAAACUUUUUAGAGGAACCUGUUGAUUAAUUUGAUAAUCCACGAUUUAAUUUACCUUAAUUUUCUUGUAUAUCUCUAUUAUUGAAUAUAUUUUGAGGUUAAUUUUCUUUUUUCUUUUUUAGAAAUUAAUUUAGGUCAAGGUGCAGUUAUAUUGAGGUUCAAAUGGGUUACAUUAAUUUAGGUUUGUAGAGGGGCUUAUUUAAAUAAAUGUAAAAAUGGAUUUAAAAGUAAUAUUUUUUAUUCAAAAAUUUGAAUCAUGCUCUAGAUUAUGUACAUAUCGCCCGUCAUUCUCAUCAAGUGAGACAAGUCGUAACAAAGUAGAUGUAUUGGAAAAUGUAUCUAGCGGAUA
rnacentral:rRNA from 1 species